GGCCACCUUCGGGGGGCUUUACCAUAGGCGGUAAAACUGCCGACGUAGCAAACGGAAGACAGAAA
ncrna:unclassified sequences L2-Alphaproteobacteria ribosomal protein leader